rnacentral:rRNA from 1 species
UACAGAGGUGCCAAGCGUUAGGCGGAAUCACUGGGCUUAAAGCGCGUGUAGGUGGACGGGUAAGUAUCUUGUGAAAUCCCACGGCUCAACCGUGGAACUGCUGGAUAUACUGCUUGUCUUGAGGCACUUAGGGGCAGCUGGAACAAAUGGUGGAGCGGUGAAAUGCGUAGAUAUCGUUUGGAACGCCAACGGUGAAAACAGACAGCUGGGAGUGUGCUGACGCUGAGACACGAAAGCCAGGGGAGCGAACGGG